UGGUCAUUUCAUGUUGAAACACUAGUUCCUGUACAAUCUCCAAAGUUAAGCAAUGUUGAGCCUGGUCAAUACCUAGAUGGAUGACCACUUGGGAAUUGAAUACCUGGUGCUGUA